rnacentral:rRNA from 1 species
UACAGAGGGGGCAAGCGUUGUUCGGAAUUACUGGGCGUAAAGGGCGCGUAGGCGGCCUUCUAAGUCGAACGUGAAAUCCCCGGGCUCAACCCGGGAACUGCGUCCGAUACUGGAAGGCUUGAAUCCGGGAGAGGGAUGUGGAAUUCCAGGUGUAGCGGUGAAAUGCGUAGAUAUCUGGAGGAACACCGGUGGCGAAGGCGACAUCCUGGACCGGUAUUGACGCUGAGGCGCGAAAGCCAGGGAGCAAACGGGAUUAGCAAACCCCGAG